rnacentral:rRNA from 1 species
CUUGAAUAAAAUAAGAGGUCCAGCCUGCCCAGUGAAAUUAUUCAACGGCCGCGGUAUCCUAACCGUGCGAAGGUAGCGUAAUCACUUGUUCUUUAAAUGAGGACUAGUAUGAAUGGCACCACGAGGGUUCUACUGUCUCCUUUUUUUAAUCAGUGAAACUAAUCUCCCCGUGAAGAAGCGGGGAUCUUUAUAUAAGACGAGAAGACCCUAUGGAGCUUUAAACAACCAACAUUUGCUACACCAUAACAUUUUCCCUAAAAGAAGUAUAGCAUUAUGAUUAUUAGUUUUCGAUUGGGGUGAUCACGGAGUAAAAUAUAACCUCCAUGCCGAAAGGGUUCUUACCCUGAGCAAAAAGCCACAGCUUUAAACACUAAAAAAUUAACGCAGUUUGACCCAAUAUUUUGAUCAACGAAC